AAGUCAACGGAGAUAAUGGCGGGGAAGCAAAUCGGCGGUGAGGGAUUGCCUGCCUACAUAGCUGGAAUGACGAAGAAUCAACUUUACGAUAUCAUGUCUCAGAUGAAGACACUUAUAGAACAAAAUCAGCAACAAGCGAAAGAGAUCCUUAUUCAAAACCCUCUCUUGACUAAAGCCCUUUUCCAGGCUCAGAUUAUGCUUGGAAUGGUUAGCCCCCCUCAAGUGAUUCCUACCAUUCAGCCAUCUGUAUUGCAACAAUCUCAGUCUCAGCAAUCAGCACAACCGCCUCCAAUGCCGAACAUGCAGCCAGCAAAAUCAUUUCAAGGUCAACUUGGGUUGCAGGACCAAACUGCUCCGUGUCAGACCCAACCUCCUUUAAGAAAACAGCAUCAAAACCAAGCUGGCACACAAAUCUCAGCUGCUGCUGUACCUGCUGGAAACGUUCAGUCUCAACCCAUGCCAGCACAUUCCCUCCAGACACCUCAGCAGAUGAAGGGACAUCUGAAUCCUCCAAUGUCCCUUCCACAAUCAUCCCAACUUCCUCUUCAUCCAUCUUCACAGCCCCAACAUCAUCAACAAACACAUAUGCCAAUGGCCUCCGGCCAGUUGCAGCAGUCAUUGCAGACAACUGGAAUUUCUCAUAUGCCUCUGCAGCCACCUAUGCCGCAACAGGCAAGACCCUCUUCUGUACCAACUUUACAUCAUCAGUAUACUCCCCAAAUGGGUCCUAAUGUCGGUUUCCAGCACCCUGGUGCUCCCCAGCAUCAUUCACAGCCGAUGUUCCAUUCUGGUAAUAAACCACCACCUGGCCUUGGAUACUCUUUUCCACAAGGACAGACACCACACUCAAAUCAGUUGCCAUCUCAAUCGGUGUAUCAAAAUCAAGCAGGAAGCUUACGUUUAGGAUCUGACUUUGGCAACCAAGUUCGAGGUUCAAUGCAGGCAGAUAGAGGAUCUCCUUGGAUGUCAAGCCAACCAGAUAAUUCAACACUUCCACAGCUUCAAGGACCCUCAUCUUUGGUUCCCAAUCAGAUGGGUCCUGGAAACCAGGCCCCUCUCACUGCCUCGUUGACUCCUGAGAUGGAGAAGGAACUACUUCAGCAGGUAAUGAGCCUUACUCCAGAACAGAUUAAUCUCUUGCCUCCUGAGCAAAGGAAUCAAGUACUUCAGCUCCAGCAGAUUCUUCGCCAAUGAGAAGGUUUAAUAACAGCACAGGUUAUGAGCUGCACUCCGGAACAGGUUAAUCACUUACCCUUGAUUCAGCAUUUGCUGCGGAGGGUUAUAGGAAUUAAUUUCGUCUUCGGGCUCCUUUGCGAGCUCGGUAAUUUGUUUGAAGGCCUAUAGAAACCUCUUUAAAGUCAAACCUCAUGUAGUAAGAAGUAAGUUGCAGAUUCAGUGUUGGCCCUUUUAUCGUUCACUUUUGCAGGGAGCGGUAGUGUCAAGUGAGCAUUAUUAGGUCUUGUGCUUACAGAUGGCAAUGGGUCGAAAAUUUCCAGACCGAGUUCCUUUAUCUUGUUGAAUCAUUCUCAAGCUGCACCAUACACUCUUGUUGCAUAUCUUGAAGAGUUUCAACUUCACCCAACUGACUGGAACUUUUGUACUUGUGGAACUCUUUCUAGUAACCCGUACAUGGAUCUCUCGCCGUUUGACCCUUCGGAGCGGUAACCUCUGGUCAGACGGUCUCUGAUAUUGAUAUUGAUAUUGAACUAGCCAGUGUUAGGUGGAACUUGAUGUCUGAUCCACCUAACACGGGCUAGUUCAAAAUUAAGUUCAACUUUAAGGGAAAACCCUAAAUCCAAAAAAAAAAUCCAAAUCAACCACCCAAGUCCAUUUAAAGGGCUGUACAGCUAAAGAUUUUGCCAAUUUGGUAAUCUCAGGUGAACUGAUUAAAGGAGUUGUUAGAAGUGAAAAACUUGGUAGGAUUGACACUGCCAAGAGUUUGACAUCUACCGGAAGGAUUUGGGUACUUAAGCUGUUGGAGGUCCUU